rnacentral:rRNA from 1 species
AGAGUUUGAUCAUGGCUCAGAUUGAACGCUGGCGGCAGGCCUAACACAUGCAAGUCGAACGGUAACAGGAAGCAGCUUGCUGCUUUGCUGACGAGUGGCGGACGGGUGAGUAAUGUCUGGGAAACUGCCUGAUGGAGGGGGAUAACUACUGGAAACGGUGGCUAAUACCGCAUAACGUCGCAAGACCAAAGAGGGGGACCUUCGGGCCUCUUGCCAUCAGAUGUGCCCAGAUGGGAUUAGCUAGUUGGUGAGGUAACGGCUCACCAAGGCGACGAUCCCUAGCUGGUCUGAGAGGAUGACCAGCCACACUGGAACUGAGACACGGUCCAGACUCCUACGGGAGGCAGCAGUGGGGAAUAUUGCACAAUGGGCGCAAGCCUGAUGCAGCCAUGCCGCGUGUAUGAAGAAGGCCUUAGGGUUGUAAAGUACUUUCAGCGGGGAGGAAGGUGUUGUGGUUAAUAACCGCAGCAAUUGACGUUACCCGCAGAAGAAGCACCGGCUAACUCCGUGCCAGCAGCCGCGGUAAUACGGAGGGUGCAAGCGUUAAUCGGAAUUACUGGGCGUAAAGCGCACGCAGGCGGUCUGUCAAGUCGGAUGUGAAAUCCCCGGGCUCAACCUGGGAACUGCAUUCGAAACUGGCAGGCUUGAGUCUUGUAGAGGGGGGUAGAAUUCCAGGUGUAGCGGUGAAAUGCGUAGAGAUCUGGAGGAAUACCGGUGGCGAAGGCGGCCCCCUGGACAAAGACUGACGCUCAGGUGCGAAAGCGUGGGGAGCAAACAGGAUUAGAUACCCUGGUAGUCCACGCCGUAAACGAUGUCUACUUGGAGGUUGUGCCCUUGAGGCGUGGCUUCCGGAGCUAACGCGUUAAGUAGACCGCCUGGGGAGUACGGCCGCAAGGUUAAAACUCAAAUGAAUUGACGGGGGCCCGCACAAGCGGUGGAGCAUGUGGUUUAAUUCGAUGCAACGCGAAGAACCUUACCUGGUCUUGACAUCCACAGAACUUUCCAGAGAUGGAUUGGUGCCUUCGGGAACUGUGAGACAGGUGCUGCAUGGCUGUCGUCAGCUCGUGUUGUGAAAUGUUGGGUUAAGUCCCGCAACGAGCGCAACCCUUAUCCUUUGUUGCCAGCGGUCCGGCCGGGAACUCAAAGGAGACUGCCAGUGAUAAACUGGAGGAAGGUGGGGAUGACGUCAAGUCAUCAUGGCCCUUACGACCAGGGCUACACACGUGCUACAAUGGCGCAUACAAAGAGAAGCGACCUCGCGAGAGCAAGCGGACCUCAUAAAGUGCGUCGUAGUCCGGAUUGGAGUCUGCAACUCGACUCCAUGAAGUCGGAAUCGCUAGUAAUCGUGGAUCAGAAUGCCACGGUGAAUACGUUCCCGGGCCUUGUACACACCGCCCGUCACACCAUGGGAGUGGGUUGCAAAAGAAGUAGGUAGCUUAACCUUCGGGAGGGCGCUUACCACUUUGUGAUUCAUGACUGGGGUGAAGUCGUAACAAGGUAACCGUAGGGGAACCUGCGGUUGGAUCACCU